UAGAUUGGAGUUCGUUGAAUAGAGCGAUUAGCUGUUAACUAAUAGGUUGUGGGAUGAAAGCCCAUCAGUCUAA
rnacentral:tRNA from 1 species